UUGAUACUAUCAAGUGCAUACCUUUGUCUCUGUCUAAAAUAAGAAUCAUACGACAACAAAUCAACUAACGUGUACUUCCCGUACGAUAAGAAAAUCAAGGACAUAACAUAAUUAACUAAGUUUGUCUUUUUCUCUGACAAUACGACAAGACUUGACAACUACCAGUACAUAAUCAAAUAGAAAGUUAUAGUUAAAUAAUUUUGAUGUAGGAUUGAAAAAGAAAAAACCUUUGAUUUCGUCCUUCUCGUUGACGACGUCAAUGAAGGAGACGAAGCUGAUGAGAAUAGACUUUUGGAUUCCAGUUUGAAAAUCUAGUGUAUCUAAGAUUAAUUUUCAAUGAGGCAAUUUCGGGAAGCUUAACAGAUUCUCUAGGAUUUAGGCAGCAAUGAAUUAGAAAGUAUAUAUGUGUAUAGGUCACGGUACAUUAGUUCGGGUGUUUUCGGGUUAUGCUUCGGUUAUCGGAUAUAACCGUUCGGGUACGGGUAUCCGGACUAAUUGAAUCCUAAACCCGUUCGGUUUUUUUUUAACUUCGGUUCGGGUUUCGGUUCGGGUUUUUCGGUUCGGUUCGGGUUCGGAUUCGGGUUUCGGUUAAUAUGCCCACACCUAUAAAAAAGAAUGAAAUGAGAUUAUAUACUAAGGAUUGGACAUGUAUAUGGUAAGCUUAAAAUUGUGAUGUUUACAGACAACAAAAAUUUAGAACCACAAAGGAUCGAACCCAGAGGGAGAGAGUCUGCGUAUUUGGAUAGUGUGGGAGUUUAGCCACUAGGCCAAGAAGAAUCAUCUGUUAUGGAUUACAUUUAAUUUUAUUUAACUCCAAACUGUAACACAAAAAAGAAUUAAAAUAGAUUUUGAAUCCACCACAUAUCGAACCCGGGGAUAGAGAGACUUUUGAGUUAUAAAAAGCCUUGGUUUAACCGCUGGUCUGAGGAGAAUCAUCUGUUAGAGAAUAUUACAUAAGCAUACUUAACCCAAUUAAAUAUAGGAUAGGUUUCCUAAACAAUACAUUUCGAUUGAAAAAAAACAAAACUCUUGCCGUCUCAACACUCUCGCCGUUUCAAACUUCUCGAAUCUCACUCGUCUCCGCCUCUCGAAUCUCUCUCUCAUCUCCAUAUCUCUCGAUCUCCGACGAAAACCCAUCUCCAGAACUCUCUCUCUCUCGAUCUUUUACGCGAGCUCUCUCUAUUCUCCGAGAAAAACCAUUUCUAGAGCUCUAUCUCUUGAAGGUAUGUUGCAGAUUCAACCUUAUGUGUGUUUUCUUUCUGAGAGAUUGGUCUCCUGUUUUUUGCUUGUGUAUAGACUUGCUCGUUUUAACCUAAUAUGAUUCGUAGAAUUCUAGUUCAUGUGAAAGCAUGUGUAUAGACUUCGGGAAGGAUUUGUAUUUUUUUUCAGGAAACCCUUCCUGAAAAUUGGAUUUUAAUUAAUUUAGACAAAUAAAAUUUUUCUUGUUUACGCAGGAUAGAAACAAGAUGGGAGAUCCAUUACCAUUAAGACUAGCACUGCCUGAGCUGAGGUAUCCGAUUGGAUCAGAGCCAGAGAAGACGAUAUCGAUAAACCAACACUCGAUAGUUGCUUAUAUCAAAACUGUUAAGGAAAUUCUAGGAAAUGAUGAGUUCAACAGAAUAAGAGGGACGUUUUUGGGACCGGUGAUCAAGCUUGGAGAGAGGUCUUUGAAAUUAUCAGCUAAGAUAGUGCACGCAGUUCUCACCAAAAGCAUCAAGACAGUGAAGAGACACGAAGCAUGGUUCCAUUUUGGUGCUCAGCCAAUGAGGUUCUCUAUAAGAGAAUUCCACAUGGUGACUGGUUUGAAAUGUAGUGGUGAAGCAAGAGAACCGCGAGAGGGAACCGAGAAAUUUAAGUGGGACUUCCUAAAAGGGCGUACUCAUACAGUAAAGGACGUGGAGAAGCAGCUCAGAAACACAAGAGAAGAUGCUUCUGAUGAGAGAUUCUGCCUUGCAAUGCUCCUCCUGAUUGAGAGCAUACUACUACAGAAGAGCCUUCUCGACGGUGGCACAACUUUUACUUUGGAUUAUGUGAAAAUAGCGCAGGAUAUGGAUGUCUUGAUGACAUACCCAUGGGGGAGAACAGCUUAUAAUUUGCUGUUAAAAUCACUUCAGAGAGCUAUCGACAAAAGCCUCGACAAAAACAAUUAUGAUUUGCAAGGGUUCCCUAUGGCAUUUCUUAUAUGGAUACUUGAGUCAGUACCUUUGCUACAGUAUGCAUUCAGUCAAGUUGUUCCUAUUCUGAGCGUUCAACCGUCUACCCCAAUAUUUUUGUGUGAGAAGUACCUUCAAAUAGCUUCUCCACAGCUGAUAGAUGUUCUCCUAAUUGAAAUCAAAGAUCAUGUAAGUUUUUACAUUAUUUUUUUCUUGUUUCUGUUUUGCCUUAUGAUUCUCCAUUUAAAAGCUAAUUAUUUUUAUGGUUUCAGCUUAAGGUCACAUGCAUCCUACCUCCUAUUUCUAAUGAUCCAGAAGAUGAUGUUUGCAUGGGAGACGAAGCUAAUAAAGAUCUGGAUGACAUGGCCGAUUUAUCGAAGAGAGGUUAUAAGUUUAAAAUUAGAGAUUGGCGAAACAUGUCAGUAGACCUAUACGGUGCUAAUGAAGAAAUAAGAAGAGCAUCUUUACUGUUUGGGAAUGGAGGGAUGAGUCAAGCUUCUACUUCGUAUCAGGAGGAGUCUUUGGAAUCAAAGAUCAACAGAAUCAGCGAGAUGGUGGGAGAUAAUUUAAGGAUCAUGAACGAUCGUUUGUGUUUGAUUGAAAAAGACAGGAAACAGAUUAAAGAACGUGUGACAAACCUAGAGAAACUACAAAGAGUUACUUCAUAUGAAACUCCAAACAAUGAGGUAACUUUUUUUUCAGAAAUUAAAAUUAAUGUUUAUCUAGUUCUUGAUUCAGUUUUGAGUUGUCAAGUAAUUUUGGAAGAUGUUAUACAUAUUUAGGCUUGCCUUCCUAAUUUUUGUUGUACUUGCACAGACUGACACAACUCCAUUUCAUGAGACGGCUUCCAGACAAGGUGAAGCCAAUGCAGAUCAAGCAGAUGAACAACUUAACAAUGAGGCAAGUAUAAUUUUGAAAACUGUUGGUAUUUAUAAAAUUAUGAAUUUGGUACGUGUUCAUAAUCCCAUUCCUGACAUCAGGAUACACGAGAGCCUAUGAAUGAGAUCACGAAAGAGACACCUGGUUCUCCAAUAGCUCAACAGAAUAUUGAGACUCCAGUCCUUACUCCAAUUCAGACGCAGCAGGUACCUUCUUUAAAAAAUUGGACUUUUCAAGUAAUUUUUGGAAGCCCUUGUACGUGUUCAUUCAACCAUUCCUGAAUUCAGGAGACUCACGAGCUUAUGAAUGAGAUCAUUUCACCAAACAUUUCCGACACACAGCCAAAUACCCGAGCUCGCAGAAAUCUUUUAACAGAGCAAAAUAAGGAUGUAGAAAGCAGAGUUCAAAAUCCCUUUGAGAUCGGAGCAAAUGUGGAGAUUUCAUCACAAGAUGACAAUACUUGUCAUAAAUGGUAUCCAGGAAAUGUGUUGGCAACAUAUUUGGUUGAUGGGGUUGAGAUGGUGAAAGUUGAGUACUUCGUCCCGUCUCUGGACGAAAAGAAGAGGAAAAGGAGUGUUGAGACACGUGUAUCAAUUGACAGAAUACGUCCUCAACCACCACCUGAGAGAUCUGGAGCGAAGAAAAGUUAUGAGCUAAUGCAGGACGUGGAGGCGUUCGACAAUGGUGCCUGGUGCGCUGGAAAAGUUAAAGUCAUUUUGUUUGAUGACUCGUGUUUUGUCGCUUUGAACAAUUCUAAAGAAGAAAUUUACUUCCACCAUUCUGAGAUUCGAAAACCAAGAAAAUGGGUAGAUGGUGUUUGGGAGAUGACAAAAAAGGUAAAACAAAUGCCUUGGAUCACUUGAAUUGAAAAACAAUGUCAUUUGUUUAAUAUCUCGGUAUUGAUUUUCAGAAGGAA